rnacentral:rRNA from 1 species
AUUCAGCGGCGGACGGUGAGUAAUGCCGUGGGAAUUCUCGGCCUUGGGUAGGUGGGGGAUAACGUCCGGAAACGGGCGCUAAUACCGCAUACGUCCUACGGGAGAAAGCAGGGGAUCUUCGGACCUUGCGCUAUCAGAUGAGCCCAGGCCGGAUUAGCUUGUUGGUGAGGUAAUGGCUCACCAAGGCGACGAUCCGUAACUGGUCUGAGAGGAAGGUCCCCCACACUGGUACUGAGACACGGACCAGACUCCUACGGGAGGCAGCAGUGAGGAAUAUUGCACAAUGGGGGAAACCCUGAUGCAGCGACGCCGCGUGAACGAUGAAGUAUUUCGGUAUGUAAAGUUCUAUCAGCAGGGAAGAUAAUGACGGUACCUGACUAAGAAGCACCGGCUAAAUACGUG